rnacentral:snRNA from 1 species
GAACCUUCGGGAACAUCCUAUAAAAUUGGAACCAUACAGAGAAAAUAGCAUGGCCGCUACGCAAGGAUGACACGCACAAUUCGACAAAUUCGUAUGCGAGAAAUUCUC